AUGCAUGAGUACCCCUUCAAUAUUGUUGACCACGAGUACUUGGUGGACUUUAUCCAUUCUUUGCGUCCAACUUUUCCAAUUAAAAGUCGCCCUACUGUGAAGAAAGACAUAGUCAACAUAUUUAAAGAGGAAAAGAAGAAAUUGUAUGAGUACUUCAAAACAGUGCAGUGCCGAUUUAGUGCCACCAUGGACAUGUGGACAUCUGGACAAACCAAAGGAUACAUGUGCAUCACUGUUCAUUGGAUAGAUGAAAAUUGGUGCAUGCAAAAGAGGAUUAUCAAGUUUAAUCAUGUACAGGGAAACCAUUCAGGAAAAAAUCUUGGCUUACACUUUUAUGAUUGCAUAGUGGAUUGGGUUCUUGACAGGAAAUUGCUUUCACUCAGUUUGGACAAUGCUUCAGCCAAUGAUAAGUGUGUUGAGGGGCUACUAACCAAAUUCAGUAAGAAUAGUCUAAUCUGUGAUGGCAUAUUUUUUCAUGUAAGAUGUUUCAAUCACAUCUUAAACCUGGUCGCUCAAGAUGGUUUGAAGACAAUUGCAGCAUCUAUUGCAAAUAUUAGAAACACAAUAUCAAUUGUGAGGAAUUCUCCACAGCAGAAGGAAGAGUUUGAGAAGUGUGCUUCAGAAUGUGACUUGAAUCCAAAAUCUGAACUGAUCUUGGAUGUUCCUACCCGGUGGAAUUCCACGUAUGAUAUGCUGCAGAAGGCACUUUACUUUAGAGAUGCUUUUGAUAGGCUUUUUCUUCGGCAUAAAAAGAAGUAUAAGAAGUGUGCUUCAACUUCGAAGAAUUGGAUUAUGGCAUUGAAGAUAUGUGAUCACCUGAAGAUUUUCAAGGAUGCUACUGUGCUGUUCUCUUGA
rnacentral:rRNA from 1 species